rnacentral:rRNA from 1 species
GAAACACACUGGAUUUGAGGAUUGCCUUCUAGGCUUUCUUCUAUUAGCUUUGCGAAAUUGUGCUUUCUCGAGAACAGGGCUAUGUCUUUUAUCAUAAACCAUGUAGUAUGUUGCCAGAAUGUAAUCAAUGGGUCUCGAUGCCUAUAAAACCUUAUACAACUUUCAGCAACGGAUCUUUGGCUCUCGCAUCGAUGAAGAACGCAGUUGAAUGCGAUAAGUAAUGUGAAUUGCAGAAUUCAGUGAAUCAUCGAAUCUUUGAACGCACCUUGCGCUCCCUUGGUAUUCCGAGGAGCAUGCCUGUUUGAGUGUCAGUAAUUCUCUCAACUCCCUCUGGCUUUUUGUUUAGCUGGGCUGGAGCUUGGAUAUGGGAGGUGUUGCAGGCCUUUGUAGGUCAGCUCCUCUGAAAUGCAUUAGCGGAACCGUUUGCGAUCCGUCACAGGUGUGAUAAUUAUCUACGCCCGUGGGUUGCUUCUGUCUUGUUCAGCUGCCAACUGUCCGAAAGGACAAUCAUUUACUGAAUCUUUGACCUCAAAUCAGUAGGACUACCCGCUGAACU